rnacentral:rRNA from 1 species
UACGUAGGGCGCGAGCGUUGUCCGGAAUUAUUGGGCGUAAAGAGCUCGUAGGCGGCCUGUCGCGUCCGCUGUGAAAACCCGGGGCUCAACCCCGGGCUUGCAGUGGAUACGGGCAGGCUAGAGGCAGGCAGGGGAGAACGGAAUUCCCGGUGUAGCGGUGAAAUGCGCAGAUAUCAGGAGGAACACCGGUGGCGAAGGCGGGUCUCUGGGCCGAUACUGACACUGAGGAGCGAAAGCGUGGGGAGCGAACAGG